rnacentral:rRNA from 1 species
GAUGAACGCUGGCGGCGUGCCUAAUACAUGCAAGUCGAGCGAACAGAUAAGGAGCUUGCUCCUUUGACGUUAGCGGCGGACGGGUGAGUUACACGUGGAUAACCUACCUAUAAGACUGGGAUAACUUCGGGAAACCGGAGCUAAUACCGGAUAACAUAUUGAACCGCAUGGUUCAAUAGUGAAAGGCGGCUUUGCUGUCACUUAUAGAUGGAUCCGCGCCGUAUUAGCUAGUUGGUAAGGUAACGGCUUACCAAGGCAACGAUACGUAGCCGACCUGAGAGGGUGAUCGGCCACACUGGAACUGAGACACGGUCCAGACUCCUACGGGAGGCAGCAGUAGGGAAUCUUCCGCAAAGGGCGAAAGCCUGACGGAGCAACGCCGCGUGAGUGAUGAAGGUCUUCGGAUCGUAAAACUCUGUUAUCAGGGAAGAACAAAUGUGUAAGUAACUGUGCACAUCUUGACGGUACCUGAUCAGAAAGCCACGGCUAACUACGUG